rnacentral:lncRNA from 1 species
CAAAAUGAGCCUGGCACCGGCCGAUGUGGGGCUGGGGCGGCCGAUGUGGGGCUGGGGUGGCCCGGGAGCGCAGAGAGGGGGUCGGGCUGGGGGGCUGGGGGCUGCGUAGGGCAGCUGAAGGGCUGUGAAGGGCCCUAUAGGGUGGCCGUGGGGCUGCUUAGGGCCCUGUGGGGUGGCGAUGGGGCUGCUUAGGGGCCUGUAGGGUUCUGUGGGGCUGCCUAGGGCCCUGUGGGGUGGCCGUGGGGCUGCUUAGGGCCCUGUGGGGCUUCUGUGGGGCUGUGUAGGGGCCUGUGGGGCUGCUUAGGGCCCUGUGGGGUGGCGAUGGGGCUGCUUAGGGGCCUGUAGGGUUCUGUGGGGCUGCCUAGGGCCCUGUAGGGUGACCAUGGGGCUGCGUCGGGUCCUGUGGGGUGGCCGUGGGGCUGUAUUGGGCCAUGUGGGGCAGCUGUGGGGCUGUAUCAGGCCCUGUGAGGUGGCUGUGGGGCUGUGUAGGGCAGUUGUGGGGCUGUUUAGGGCCCUGUGGGGUGGCUGUGGGGCUGUAUCGGGCCCUGUAGGGUGGCCGUGGGGCUGUGUAGGGUCCUGUGGGGGCUGCUUAGGGCCCUGUGGGGCAGCUGUGGGGCUGUAUCGGGCCCUGUAGGGUGGCCGUGGGGCUCCUUAGGGCCAUGUGGGGCUGCUUAAGGCCCUAUGGGGUGGCCAUGGGGCUGUGCAGGGUGGCUGUGGGGCUGCAUAGGAACCUGUGGGGUGGCCGUGGGGGCUGCUUAGGGCCCUGUGGGGCUUCUGUGGGGCUGUGUAGGGGCCUGUGGGGGCUGCUUAGGGCCCUGUGGGGGUGGCUGUGGGGCUGUGCAGGGCGGCUGUGGGGCUGCCUAGGGCCCUGUGGGGUGGCCAUGGGGCUGUGUAGGGUCCUGUGGGGUGGCUGUGGGGCUGCACAGGAACCUGUGGGGUGGCCGUGGGUCUAUGCACGGUUCCGUGGGGCAGUGUGGGGCCGCAUGGGGUGGUGGUGGGGCCAUGUGGGGCGCUGUGUGGGGCUGCGGGCGGAGGUUGUGGGGUGCUGCGGGGCCAUGUGGGGCAGUUGUGGAGCCAUGUGGGGCUGUGUGAGGUGGCAUGGGGUGCCGUGGGGCUGCACAGGGUGGUUGUGGGGCGCUGCGGGGCAGUUGUGGGGCUGCGCGGGGCACCAUGGGGCACCGUGGGGUGGCGGUGGGG